UACGUAGGUGGCAAGCGUUGUCCGGAAUUAUUGGGCGUAAAGCGCGCGCAGGCGGCCUUUUAAGUCUGAUGUGAAAGCCCACGGCUCAACCGUGGAAGGUCAUUGGAAACUGAAAGGCUUGAGUACAGAAGAGGAAAGCGGAAUUCCACGUGUAGCGGUGAAAUGCGUAGAGAUGUGGAGGAACACCAGUGGCGAAGGCGGCUUUCUGGACAGUGACUGACGUGAGACGCGAAAGCGUGGGGAGCAAACAGG
rnacentral:rRNA from 1 species